rnacentral:rRNA from 5 species
CUCGGAAGGAUCAUUA